CCUACGGGAGGCUGCAGUGGGGAAUAUUGGGCAAUGGGCGCAAGCCUGACCCAGCAACGCCGCGUGAAGGAAGAAGGCUUUCGGGUUGUAAACUUCUUUUCUCAGGGACGAAGCAAGUGACGGUACCUGAGGAAUAAGCCACGGCUAACUACGGGCCAGCAGCCGCGGCAAUACGUAGGUGGCAAGCGUUCGCCGGAUUUACUGGGUGUAAAGGGCGUGUAGGCGGGAAAGCAAGUCAGAUGUGAAAACCAUGGGCUCAACCUGUGGCCUGCAUUUGAAACUGUUUUUCUUGAGUACUGGAGAGGCAGGCGGAAUUCCUAGUGUAGCGGUGAAAUGCGUAGAUAUUAGGAGGAACACCAGUGGCGAAGGCGGUCUGCUGGACAGCAACUGACGCUGAGGCGCGAAAGCGUGGGGAGCAAACAGGAUUAGAUACCCCAGUAGUC
rnacentral:rRNA from 1 species